CGAUUUUACCUGUGAUUUCUUAAGCCUACAUUGUAUCAAAUUAUUCAAACAUCAAGUCUGACACCAUCUAUCGCCGUGCACAUAAAUCUGGCUUUUGAUGAAUUCUAUUAUGUACAUGUUUUUUCCUGGAAAUUCCAUUUGCGAUUCAAUAGCACUAUACAAAGUCUGAUAGUCCAAUGGCCCAAUUUCGCAGGUACUUAGGACUCUCUCUACACAAGCACGCGAAUGAACCAGGGGUUUGUACAAUGUCUUAGUUAGAACAAGAUAAUGGCAAUAAGAAUGGUCGCAAGUCAUGUAUCUCAGAGGGUCUUGAGAACAUGAGGAGGAACUGGAAGCGUGAGAAACGUUUUCUGGUCUGCUAACCCUAAUUCGUAUCAAGCUAGGGCCGAAAGACUUCUGAAAACUGAAGCUUAAACUAUCAAGGAAGGCGACCCUCAGAUUAUCAAGGAAUUUAUGAAAUUCAAAAAGAUAUACGAGUAUGACGAGAAACUUCAUGUCGAGUCUCAUGCAAAUAUCCUUGCAGCUAGUAAGUCGACGGGAAUUACGGUAGCCAUUGCAAUUGCAGCUGUAACUUAUUAUUUUUCUAUAAGGCGACCGAAACCACGAAUUGAAGAAAGGGCAAGUCCACCGUCCACCCCUCACCCCCACCCCAUAUUAUUUCUGUUCUUAUUUUUCUGUUCUGAAAUUGCUCUUGUUUGUUACUGUUUUAAGAGCAAGUCUUGUGGUGGAAGAGUUCAAUCUUCCACGCCACCUCAGCAUUUGGAAUUGUGGAUGGAAGUGCAAGUGUAGUGGUGGAAUAGUGAAAAAAUUCUUAAUAGCACAAAAAUAACGCUAUUAAGAAUAGCACAAAAAAAAACGCUAUUUUUAAUAGCACUCAGUGCUAUUAAGAAUAGUUUUUUUUUCCCAACCGUUAGAUUUCAACAACUCAUUUUAAAUUUACGGAUAAGAAAAAACGCUAUUCUUAAUAGCACUAAGUGCUAUUAAGAAUAAUGUUUCUUGUCUUCUACUGCGGUAUUCUGAUUAGCGUUUCUUGUCUUCUACUGCGCUAUUAUGAUUAGCGUUUUCAUGGAUUCCACGGACCCUUCCAUCAAUUCAUGAAACCCUGCUUGGAUUUUCUGUGGAAGAUCCCAACUUGGAAGCUACUAGACUUGAC